rnacentral:rRNA from 1 species
UACGGAGGGUGCAAGCGUUAUCCGGAUUUACUGGGUUUAAAGGGUCCGUAGGUGGCCUGCUAAGUCAGUGGUGAAAUACCGCAGCUUAACUGCGGAACUGCCAUUGAUACUGGCGGGCUUGAGUUCGGUUGAAGUAGGCGGAAUACAUCAUGUAGUGGUGAAAUACUUAGAUAUGAUGUAGAACACCGAUUGCGAAGGCAGCUUGCUAAGCCGACACUGACACUGAGGGACGAAAGCAUGGGGAUCAAACAGG